AGUGAACGCUGGCGGUAGGCCUAACACAUGCAAGUCGAACGGCAGCACAGUAAGAGCUUGCUCUUACGGGUGGCGAGUGGCGGACGGGUGAGGAAUACAUCGGAAUCUACUUUUUCGUGGGGGAUAACGUAGGGAAACUUACGCUAAUACCGCAUACGACCUACGGGUGAAAGCAGGGGAUCUUCGGACCUUGCGCGAUUGAAUGAGCCGAUGUCGGAUUAGCUAGUUGGCGGGGUAAAGGCCCACCAAGGCGACGAUCCGUAGCUGGUCUGAGAGGAUGAUCAGCCACACUGGAACUGAGACACGGUCCAGACUCCUACGGGAGGCAGCAGUGGGGAAUAUUGGCCAAUGGGCGCAAGCCUGAUCCAGCCAUACCGCGUGGGUGAAGAAGGCCUUCGGGUUGUAAAGCCCUUUUGUUGGGAAAGAACAGCAGCAGGUUAAUACCCCGCUGUUCUGACGGUACCCAAAGAAUAAGCACCGGCUAACUUCGUG
rnacentral:rRNA from 1 species